GAUUUCAAUUCCAGUAGUGGACAAGAGAGACCUUUGUAUUAACAUAACUAAACUAGCUUUAUUUAGAACUGGAGGCUUACAAAAAAUGUCAAGACUUAAGUGUCUAGAAAAAAUGCAGCAAGUCACAAUCCCAGGUGCUAUUCAAGCAAGUGUGCCAUGACUGAGGAGAAGGAGUGAAAAUGAAGGAGUGAGGGAGAAGGAGCAGGAGAGGGCGAGAAGCAAUGUGUCAAGAGAACAAAGUGAAAAUCAGAGUCCAUCAGACUGGAAUUAGUAGACAGAGUGUAGAUGUUUCAGGGUUGAGAUCCAGCCGCACAGAUAGGGUUAAGGAGCCUUACUAAAAUGGCAUUACAAGUACUCAGACGUAGCCUAAACUGGUCAAGAGGAUGCUGGCAGAAAGCACAGCAUGCAGGUGAGACACUUCUUGCUAUCCACGAUCAAAUCUUAGCUAUAGGAACUAGGGUGUGGACUGAUCUCUGUCCAGGCUUUAGGUGGCCCUACUGGCAUAAGCAGAUAAAGCCAGCAAAUGUGUGCUGCGUUCAAGGCAGAGGUAUGAGCUCUAGAAUUUGUCCUUGUAUGCCAAAUGAGGGAUGAAUGGUCUUUAACUGGCCAAAAGCUGUAGCAGGAAAGCUAAAUACCUGUAAGACAGUUUUUCCUCAGCUUCUUCUAGGUUCUAUUUGACCAAAAUCACAAGAGAGAAAAUGAUACUGUGGUAAGCAGGGCUUACCGAUUGUGAGUGACAGAAGCAUAAACUGAGAUGAUUUAGGGAAAUACUUAACUGUCAUUUGUCUGGCAAGUCGAGCAUGAAAUUUCAUAUGUGCUGGGGCUAGUUGCUCAAACACUGAUGCUAGAAGUCCAUCUUCCAUUACCCCUCAUCUAUUCUCUCUGUGUCGGCUGUUCUUUUGUGGAUCUCCAUAGUUGAGAGGUCACGCGGUUUAUAUUGCCAUGAGUCUGCAAGUUCUAAGACUGCGUGUCCCAGAAUUUGAUCUUGAGUCAUGUUAACCUGUGUUGGAUCUCAUAGAUGCCUUUGAAUAAAUCAGUGUCUUCAGGAAAACACAUGUGAAAUGGAAGCAGGAUGCUGUUUCAGAAUAAAGAGGAAUCAACCUUGGGCAACUAAAAUUGAGACUCGUCCAGAUGAUGGAAAUUU